GACCGGCCACACUGGGACUGAGACACGGCCCAGACUCCUACGGGAGGCAGCAGUGGGGAAUAUUGCACAAUGGGCGCAAGCCUGAUGCAGCAACGCCGCGUGAGGGAUGACGGCCUUCGGGUUGUAAACCUCUUUUAGCAGGGAAGAAGCGAAAGUGACGGUACCUGCAGAAAAAGCGCCGGCUAACUACGUGCCAGCAGCCGCGGUAAUACGUAGGGCGCAAGCGUUAUCCGGAAUUAUUGGGCGUAAAGAGCUCGUAGGCGGUUUGUCGCGUCUGCUGUGAAAUCCGGAGGCACAACCUCCGGCCUGCAGUGGGUACGGGCAGACUAGAGUGCAGUAGGGGAGAUUGGAAUUCCUGGUGUAGCGGUGGAAUGCGCAGAUAUCACGAGGAACACCGAUGGCGAAGGCAGAUCUCUGGGCCAUAACUGACGCUGAGGAGCGAAAGGGUGGGGAGCAAAACAGGCUUAGAUACCCUGGUAGUCCACCCCGUAAACGUUGGGA
rnacentral:rRNA from 1 species